UACGUAGGCAGCAAGCGUUGUUCGGAGUUACUGGGCGUAAAGGGUGUGUAGGCGGUUGGAUAAGUGUGGUGUGAAAUCUCCCGGCUCAACUGGGAGGGUGCGCUACAAACUGUCUGACUCGAGUGUGGGAUGGGUAAGUGGAAUUCCUGGUGUAGCGGUGAAAUGCGCAGAUAUCAGGAAGAACACCCGUGGCGAAGGCGGCUCUCUGGGACGGUACUGACGCUGAGACGCGAAAGCGUGGGGAGCGAACAGG
rnacentral:rRNA from 1 species